rnacentral:rRNA from 1 species
AAUCAACGCUGGCGGCGUGCCUCAGACAUGCAAGUCGAACGAUUAAAGCUCUCUUCGGAGAGUGUAUAGAGUGGCGCACGGGUGAGUAACACGUAAGUAAUCUACCCUCGAGUGGGGAAUAACAACCGGAAACGGUUGCUAAUACCGCAUAAUGCAGCGGCACCGCAAGGUGACAGUUGUUAAAGAUUUAUCGCUUGAGGAGGAGCUUGCGGCAGAUUAGCUAGUUGGUAGGGUAACGGCUUACCAAGGCUACGAUCUGUAACCGGCCUAAGAGGACGGUCGGUCACACUGACACUGAAUAACGGGUCAGACUCCUACGGGAGGCAGCAGUCGGGAAUUUUGGGCAAUGGGCGAAAGCCUGACCCAGCAACGCCGCGUGAAGGAUGAAGUAUUUCGGUAUGUAAACUUCGAAAGAAUAGGAAGAAUUAAUGACGGUACUA